CUCAUCUUAUCUUGAUGCCAAUCUUCCAAAGCCAAUAUCUCUCCUUUACACCGUUCGAUUGAUCUCAAAAUUCUCAUACAUAUAAAAAAUCAAGUCUAAUAUCCUCUUACAUAAGUUUCACUUCAAUCCAACUAGUAGAUUGCAAGAAAUCUUAAAAACCCCCACUAGACCUAAAAUUCCACUUUUUGAGACCUUGACCCACUUAAACCUCAAUAUCCCUCAAUUCAAAUGUUAGAUUGAGCUCAAAUUCACAAUUCAUAUUAAACACAACUAUAAUCAUAAAUCCACAAAAUUUCACCUAUACAUCUACUACAAAACUCUUGAAAUCACCCAAAAUAUAAAUCCUAUUUUAUUUCAUAAAACCCAAAUCAUUCGAAACAAACCUUGACUUUGCAAAGCUCUUACAAAGUC
rnacentral:lncRNA from 1 species